AUGGUUCUCGUUCUUCACUACCCCGUGUCUCCUUUCCCUCUCCUCGCACCGCUGCUGGACACCGAUCCUGUGCCUCCUGCCCUGCUUCAAGUACGCGGCGAUGACCGCUGCUGCCGGAUCACCCUUCAGCGACGCAGAGGGCCAGGGCGACACAACGCUCGCCGCCAGUCCCCGAUCCCGCGCCUCCAGCCCCUGCUUCCCACACGCGGUGAAGCGGCCGCUGGAGUGGGAGCGGCCUUCGGCGGCGAGGAGGCACAGGGCGACAUGGCGGGCGGUGGCGCUGGUGCUCCCCAGUGCAACCACUCCGACGAUAGCUACAACAGCCGACUUUCUUAA
rnacentral:rRNA from 1 species